GACGAACGCUUGCGGCGUGCUUAACACAUGCAAGUCGAACGGAAAGGCCCUGCUUUUGUGGGGUGCUCGAGUGGCGAACGGGUGAGUAACACGUGAGUAACCUGCCCUUGACUUUGGGAUAACUUCAGGAAACUGGGGCUAAUACCGGAUAGGAGCUCCUGCUGCAUGGUGGGGGUUGGAAAGUUUCGGCGGUUGGGGAUGGACUCGCGGCUUAUCAGCUUGUUGGUGGGGUAGUGGCUUACCAAGGCUUUGACGGGUAGCCGGCCUGAGAGGGUGACCGGCCACAUUGGGACUGAGAUACGGCCCAGACUCCUACGGGAGGCAGCAGUGGGGAAUAUUGCACAAUGGGCGGAAGCCUGAUGCAGCAACGCCGCGUGCGGGAUGACGGCCUUCGGGUUGUAAACCGCUUUCGCCUGUGACGAAGCGUGAGUGACGGUAAUGGGUAAAGAAGCACCGGCUAACUACGUGCCAGCAGCCGCGGUGAUACGUAGGGUGCGAGCGUUGUCCGGAUUUAUUGGGCGUAAAGGGCUCGUAGGUGGUUGAUCGCGUCGGAAGUGUAAUCUUGGGGCUUAACCCUGAGCGUGCUUUCGAUACGGGUUGACUUGAGGAAGGUAGGGGAGAAUGGAAUUCCUGGUGGAGCGGUGGAAUGCGCAGAUAUCAGGAGGAACACCAGUGGCGAAGGCGGUUCUCUGGGCCUUUCCUGACGCUGAGGAGCGAAAGCGUGGGGAGCGAACAGGCUUAGAUACCCUGGUAGUCCACGCUGUAAACGGUGGGUACUAGGUGUGGGGUCCAUUCCACGGGUUCCGUGCCGUAGCUAACGCUUUAAGUACCCCGCCUGGGGAGUACGGCCGCAAGGCUAAAACUCAAAGGAAUUGACGGGGCCCCGCACAAGCGGCGGAGCAUGCGGAUUAAUUCGAUGCAACGCGUAGAACCUUACCUGGGUUUGACAUGGAUCGGGAGUGCUCAGAGAUGGGUGUGCCUCUUUUGGGGUCGGUUCACAGGUGGUGCAUGGCUGUCGUCAGCUCGUGUCGUGAGAUGUUGGGUUAAGUCCCGCAACGAGCGCAACCCUUGUUCACUGUUGCCAGCACGUUAUGGUGGGGACUCAGUGGAGACCGCCGGGGUCAACUCGGAGGAAGGUGGGGAUGACGUCAAGUCAUCAUGCCCCUUAUGUCCAGGGCUUCACGCAUGCUACAAUGGCUGGUACAGAGAGUGGCGAGCCUGUGAGGGUGAGCGAAUCUCGGGAAGCCGGUCUCAGUUCGGAUUGGGGUCUGCAACUCGACCUCAUGAAGUCGGAGUCGCUAGUAAUCGCAGAUCAGCAACGCUGCGGUGAAUACGUUCCCGGG
rnacentral:rRNA from 1 species